rnacentral:lncRNA from 1 species
CUGGAUGCUAUCCACACUCCAGUUCUACUUUGAAAUCCCCCUACCCCUUUGCUUUUCUUUUCUUGAUUUUUUCUUUUUUUUUCUUAUGCUAUUUUUUUUAUUUCACCUUGAUUUUAUUAUCACUUUAACUUGAUUUAAUCUUUAAUGCUACUAACCAUUAACUUCUAACUUCUAAUUUUUUUAUUCAACUUUUGUUUGUCUUUUUAUUU